ensembl:lncRNA
GCACAUAGCAUUGUGGUCGGAAAAGAUGCUUGAUACUAUUUCAAUUUUCUUAAAUUUACUGAGGCUUGAUUUGUGGCCCAGAAUGUGAUCUAUCCUAGAGAAUAGGAUAUACUUCCAUGCGUAUUCUGCUGCUUUUAGAUGGUAUGUUCUAUUAAGUCCAUCUGGUCUAAUGCAUCAUCUAAGGCCUGUGUUUCCUUGUUGAUUCUCUGUCUGGAUGAUCGGUCCAUUGCUGUAAGUGGGGUGUUAACAUCCCCACUAAUAUUGUUUUAUUGUCAAUUUCUCCUUUCCAGGUUAUUAGCAGUUGCCUUAAAUAUUGAGAUGAUCUUAUGUUGGGUGCCUAUAUAUUUACAAUUGUUUUAUCUUCUUUUGGAAUGAUGCUUUGAUCAUUAUGUAAUGUCCUUCUUUUUGUUUUUUGGGGGUUUUUUUCAGGGCCGCACUCAAGGCAUGUGGAGUUUUCCAGGCCAGGGGUCAAACUGGAGCUGCAGCCGCCAGCCUAUGCCACAGCCACAACAACAUCAGAUCCGAGCCGUGUCUGCAAACUACACCACAGCUCAUGGCAACACUGGAUCUUUAACCCACUGAGAGAGGCCAGGGAUUGAACCCGCAACCUCCUGGUUACUAGUCAAGUUCAUUUCCACUACAUGAAAAUGGGAAUUCCUAUGUAAUGUCCUUCUUUGUCUCCUAUAAUACUCUUUUUUUCAAGGUCUAUUUUUUCUGAUAUGAGUAUUGCUACUCCAGCUUUCUUUUGAUUUUGAUUUGCAUGAAAUAUUGUCUUCCAUCCUCUCACUUUCAAUUUGUAUGUGCUCCUAGAACUGGAGUUGGUCUCUUGAAGACAGCAUAUGGGUCUUGCUUUUGUAUCCUUUCAGCCAGCCUAUGUCUUUUGGUUGGGGCAUUUUGUCCAUUUACAUUUAAGGUAAUUAUUGAUAUGUAUGUUCUCAUUGCCAUUUUGGAUUUGUUUUUGUUGGUCUUUUUUUCUUCUCUUGUGGUUUGAUGACCAUUUUUAGUGUUGUGUUUGGACUGCUUUUUCUUAUUUGUGUGUGUAUCUACUGCAGAUUUUUGGUUUGAAGUUACCAUGAAUUUUUGAUAGAGUCUAUAUAUGUAUAUAUAUAUUUGUUGGUCUCUUACUUGCAAGUGCAUCUCAAGUAUCCUGUAUUUUUACCCUCCUCUUCUCAAACUUUUUGGUUUUGGUAGCAUAUUUGUGUGUGGAUGAUUUCCUACCUUUAUUAUUUGUAUGCCUUUACUGGUGAGCCAUGUCAUUUGCAAUUUGUUUCUUGUUGUGACCUUUUCUUUUCCAUCUAAAGAAGUUCCUUUAGUAUUUGUUGUAAAGCUGGUUUAAUGGGGAUGAAUUCUCUUAGCUUUUGCUUGACUGUAAAGCUUUUGAUUUCUGCUUCAAUAAAGCAUUUUUAUAAAAUUAUAUACAUUUUUUUUCUUUUUAUGGCCAUACCUAUGAUGUAUGGAAGUUCCUGGGCUAGGCCUAGACAACAACCACACCAGAUCAAAGCAGCAUCUGUCACCUAUGCCACAGCUUGCAGCAAUGCCAGAACCUUAACCCAUUGAGUGAGGCCAGGGUUUGAACCCACAUCAUCAUGGACACUAUGUCAGGUUCUUAACCUACUGAGCCACAAGAGAAACUCCAAAAAUUACAUUUUCAAAAUGUUUUUAAUAUGCACCAAAAGUCCCAGAAAACAGACACCACUGAAUAGAAUUGAAAAGCUUUAAGUCUAUACUAUAAAACUCCUAGAGGAAAACAUAGAAAGAACACUCUUUGACAUAAAUCACAACAGUAUUUUUUUGGACCCAUCUCCUAGAAUAAUGGAAAUAAAAGCAAAAAUAAACAAAUCAGUUCUAAUUACAUGUAAGCUUUUGCACAGCAAAGAAAACCAUAAACAAAAUGAAAAAACAACAUAUGGAAUGGAAGAAAAUAUCUGCAAAUGAUGUGACCAACAAGAUAUUAAUUUCCAAAACAUACAAACAGAUCAUACAGCUCAAUAUCAAAAACAAACAAACAACUCAAUCGAAAAACUGGCAGAAGAGUUACAUAGACAUUUCUCCACAGACUCAGAGACAUAAAGAACAGAUUUGUGGUUUGAAAGCGGGAGGGGGGAGGGAGUGAGAUGGAUGAGGAUUUGGGGGUUGGUAGAUGAAAACUGUUAUAUUCAGAAUGCAUAAGCAAUGAGGUCCUACUGUUUAGCACAGGGAACAAAAUCCAGUCUCUUGGGAUAGAACAUAAUGGAAGAUAGUAUGAGAAAAAGAAUGUGUAUAUAUAUAUCUAUCUAUAUAUAUAUAGAUAGAUAGGUAUAUGACUGGGUCAUUAUGCUGUACAGCAGAAAUUUGCAAAACAUUGUAAAUUAACUAUAAUUUUAAAAAUGUGGAUGCAAAAAGUUUUUUAAAUAGACAUUUCCCCAAAGAAGAUAUAUAGAUAGCCACAAGGCACAUUUUUAAAAAUGCUCAAAAUCACUAAUUAGAGAAAUGCAAAUCAAAACUACAGUGAGGUACCACCUCAUGCUGGUCAGAAUGGCCAUCAUUAAAAGGUCUACAUGGGAGUUCCCUUAGUGGCUCAGUGGUUAACGAAUCCAACUAAGAACCAUGAGGUUGUAGGUUUGAUCCCUGGCCUCGCUCAGUGGGUUAAGGAUCUGGUGUUGCACUGAGCUGUGGUGUAGGCUGUAGACGCAGCUCAAAUCUGGCAUUGGUGUGGCUCUGGCAUAGGCCAGUGGCUAUAGCUCCCAUUAGACCCCUACCCUGGGAACCUCCAUAU